rnacentral:rRNA from 1 species
AGAUACCCUAUUAUUUUAAGCUAUAAUAUGUUAGUAACUAAAAUUUAUGAAAUCAAAAAAUUUUGGCGGUAUUUUAAGCUUUUUAGAGGAAUUUGCUCUUUAAUGGAUAAAACGCCUUGAUCUUACUUAAUUUUGUUAUGUCAGUUUGUAUACCACUAUAAAAAAUAAUAUUGAAUAAUUAAUUAUUGGAAUUUUUUUUGUAAAAAAAAAUAAAAAGUUAAGUCAAGGUGCAGCAUAAAGUUAUGAAUGAAGUGAAUUACAUUGAUUUUUAUUUAUAUUAUAUAUAUGAAAUAAAAUUUAUAGGAUUUAAAAGUAAGUUAGUGAUAUAAUAAUUGACUGAAAAAAGCUCUAAAAUAUGUACACAUCGCCCGUC